ACACGAAUCACCUGGAGAUCUUGUUAAAAUUCAAAGUCUCAUUCAGUAGGUCUGGGGUGGGGCCUGAGAUUCUACAUUUCUAAGAAGCUCCCAGGUGAUGCUGAU
rnacentral:pre_miRNA from 2 species